GCCAGCCCUGGCGCCCAGGUGCCUGGCCCCUUGACCCAGACCCGCCUGGCUUGUGGGGCUGCCCCGGUGGGUCCAGAGUGUCCUGAAUGCUUUGCUGUGUGAGGCUGAUCCGUGCUGCAUUGAAAGAGGCCGUGAUGCAACCGCUUCUACGGAAACCGGCUCCAGGCCCUUUGGCUUGGAACAUUGACCAGUUGGCAAGACCCCCUUUGGGGGAAGGUGGUGGAGAGAGCCAUGGGGGGCAGCUACAAGCAUUAUUGGAGGGCCCAGAUUAUUUAGAGCCAUUCCCACCUGGGUUCAGUCGGGGCCACAGACCUGAGUCGCCCUUGUUGCCCUGAUGGAUGACCUCUGCAGAGAGCAGCGCACAGGGAGUGUGACCUUGCUCCUGCUCCCUGCACUCAGGGAAGACCAUCCACCAUCCUGGACCCAUGGACUGGGGACAGUGUAUUACAGCGGUUCCAAUCCUACCUUCAGGUCCAGAGAGUAGCACUGGGAGAGUACCUCUUGGCCCCCGGGCAGCUAUUUAAUAUAUGCAAGUUGGGGUUUCAGGGCAAUGUGCCACCAGUAUGCUGAGGACACUCAGUUCUCUUUCUCCUUAACAUCUGAAUGUUACAGAGAGACCGCACAGUCCUGGGGUCAUAUCCUGCCUGCCUCCCAGUGCCAUCGCUGCCUCCCAUGGGAGCAAGUUCCAUAGUUCACACUAUGCUGUGUGAAGAAGAGCUUUCUUUUAUCUGUCCUGAAUUUUCCAGCUUUUGCUUCCUUCAGUAUCCAUGAGUUGUCGUGUUAUAAGAGAGAGAGGAAAACAUUACCACCCACUUUUGCUCAUGUCCUGCUUCCAAGCGUCCCACGGGGUCCCUGGGAGAACAGGAGGCUGGGCCAGACGGGCCUUUGGAUUGUCAACUGUUCCCUUUUCUUGCGAGGAAUCCUAUUUGGAAUAAGGGAAUUUCCCUUAAAAAAAGAGAAACGUUGACAGCCAUGGGCUCUUACUAUGUCUUAUUUGAUAAACUUCAAAUGUGACUAUAUUUUGUCAUGUGUAGUAUAUAAAUUGCAGAUGUUUUGUUUGGGUAUGAUGCAUGUGUUUGUCAGUAUUAGCGCAUAGGCUUUUGUGGGCUAUGGUCUACUUCAACAGAUGCAUGAAGUGUGAUCCUCAGUCAAAGUACAUAUACAGACAAUUGUGAGUGGUAACCGCAGACAUUGAGAUCAGGGAAACGAGAUGAAGAAAAAGUACAGACCUGAUAAUUACAUAAUUAUUUGUGGUCAUUACAGCUGGUAACAGAGACAUCCUCUCAUGAUGAGUGGUACUGGAUCUAGUCCAAUGUCGACUAUUGCUCCAUCAGGCAGCGGAAGAGGGACUGGGAAAUCAACAAACUUUACUCCUGAACUGCAAAGUAUGAUGUUUUCCUUAGGAGAUGCUCGCAGGCCUCUCCACGAGUCGGCAGUAUUGGUGGAAGACAUUGUCCACACUCAGCUGAUUAAUUUGUUACAACAAGCCUCUGAAGUUUCUCAAAUGAGAGGAGCAAGAGUAAUCUCUGCAGAAGAUCUUAUUUUUUUGAUGCGCAAAGAUAAGAAAAAGCUUAGAAGGCUACUUAAAUAUAUGUUUUUCCGAGACUACAAAUCUAAAGUUGUCAAAGGCAUUGAAGAAGAUGAUCUUCUUGAAGACAGACUCAGUAGCAGCAGCACCAAUAAACGUCAGAAAAUUGCUCAAGAUUUUCUUAUCUCUAUUGACCAGACUGGAGAGCUGUUGGGCUUGUUGGAAGAUGAUGAGAUUGAUGAUGUAAAACUAGAGAGAAUGGAGAGGGCAGAAAGACAGGCACGAAUGAUGGACUCUGCACAAUAUGCAGAAUUCUGUGAAAGUCGUCAACUAAGCUUUUCCAAGAAGGCUUCCAAGUUCCGGGACUGGCUGGACUGUAGCAGCAUGGAAAUAAAACCCAAUGCUGUUGCCAUGGAAAUUUUGGCUUAUUUAGCUUAUGAGACUGUCGCACAGCUGGUGGACCUGGCCCUUCUCGUCAAGCAGGACAUGACUCCCAAAGCUGGGGACCCUUUCAGCCAUGCAAUAUCUGCUACUUUCAUUCAGUAUCAUAGUUCUGCUGAGAUGCAUGUUUUGGGGCAAGCAACAAGUCUGAAGACCAGUCCAGACUCUCCUGAAAGCACCCCGCCACCAACGCCCACCCCUCCAGCUGCAGGCCCACAGCACCUUGGGAAGGCUCCGUCUGGAUCCAUGGGCAAUGGCAGCAUUGGGCAAGACUCCUCAAAAGCCAAGCAGCGAAAGAGGAAGAAAAGUUCUGCUGCUUGUGGUGCAGAAGCUCAGAGUGAUGCCAUCCAGCCUUCCCACAUCAGAGAGGCCAUUCGGCGCUAUGGCCACAAGAUUGGACCCCUUUCCCCAUACACAAGCGCCUACCGCAGAAAUGGGAUGACUUUUCUUGCUUGCUAAUAUGGAUGUGGCUACAGCAACAGGAAAGACCAUGUUAUAUUAAGGUGAUUCCCCCUCCCCGCAUGACACCCUUCGGGGGGGGGGUAAAUAAAUAAAAGUUCCAGCCAGCAUGUGUCUACUGUAAAUCUGUGGUCUUCAUGACGACUAUAGCAGAACAUAGUACAAAUUCUGGAGUGAGGUCUGAACAUGAAAAUUGUUCUGGUUAUCGUUUUGGAUGGGAAGCGCAUUGAAUGUUUCACUUAAACUCUCCAAUAUCAACCCAUUGGCAAGCGCUGCUGCAGCAAACUUAAUCAAAGGACUGAGAAAGAUUGCAAACAGAGGACAUUCACAAUCAACUAAAGGAAUGAUUUAUUAUAUAUACCAACCUUAUCACUGGACAGUUUUCAAAACUGGGUAUUCUUGUGAAUUGUUGCAGUUGAUACAGUAUUCUACUGUACGAACUGGCAGAGUUGUAAUUUUAAAAAAAUCCAUGUCAUUUUCCUGGAACUAAUCUGCAUGUUAAAGAACUAAAAAUAAUAUGUACAAUAAAGAAGAAGAAACAUUUCUGAUGUUCCGUCUAUGCUUGCUGAAAUGUAUGAUUAAACUUUUCUUUUUAUCAUGA